rnacentral:lncRNA from 1 species
GAUAAUCAUAUACAUGCAUAUAUACACAACACUUAGUUACCUUUAAGAAAAAUCUAACCAACCAUAGCCACUCAAACUCUCUCCCUAUAUAUUCCAAGUAUGGAUUAAUAUAUUAUUUUUUAUUUAAAUAAAUAUAAAAUUCUAUAAAACAAACAAUUGAUAAGGCAUAUAAAUAAAUGAUCAUAAUUAGGUUCUAUUACUCUAAUAAAAAAAAUUCAAUGGUUGCUUAAUUAAAUUCAAA